UGAUACCGACUGCUUCUACUCCGGUAUCGAUUGUUGGGAUUCCACAACGGAAGUGUCAAAUCGGAUUUUUAUUAUAAACCCAUCUUUUCAGCAGAAACUGAUACAAUUAUAAAAGAGAGAAAGCUACCAAACAAAAAAUAUAUGGAUAAAAUAAGAUUCAUUAAAUAAGAGAAGAUUACACAUGACUCCUCUUUUAUAACAGAGUAGCUACAAAUCGAUCCGAGCUCUUUUUUGAAUCUCUUCGACCCUUCUCUCGUCUUCUAUAGUCUCAGAAGAC
rnacentral:lncRNA from 1 species